AUUGAACGCUGGCGGCAGGCCUAACACAUGCAAGUCGAGCGGAGCGGCGGACGGGCGAGUAAUAAAUAGGAAUCUGCCUGGCAGAGGGGGCUAACGUACGGACACGGAAGCUAAUACAGCAUACUAUCAGAUGAGCCUAGGUGGGAUUAGCUCGUUGGUGAGGUAAGGGCUCACCAAGGCUACGAUCCGUAACUGGUCUGAGAGGAUGAUCAGUCACACUGGAACGGAGACACGGUCCAGACUCCUACGGGAGGCAGCAGUGGGGAAUAUUGGACAAUGGGCGAAAGCCUGAUCCAGCCAUGCCGCGUGUGUGAAGAAGGUCUUCGGAUUGUAAAGCACUUUAAGUUGGGAGGCGUUACCGACAGAAUAAGCACCGGCUAACUCUGUGCCAGCAGCCGCGGUAAUUC
rnacentral:rRNA from 1 species